UCUGGUAGUACGAGGCUCGGCAGUCAAUGGACAUCUUGCAACCGCGAUUUUGACAUAAACGAAGUGCUGUCUUUUUGCGCACCUUUCGAGCAGUAACCUGCGCCGUUUAUUGAAAGGGGGCCUCAGUUUUUGUCGUCUGCUGAACGUGGUUUUCUCGGCACAAAUCAACUUCAAUAAAUUAGGCGACAGGGGAGAAGUCUAACAGAAGGCCUAUCAGACAGGUGCCAACUGGUUCUUCUAAAGGCAGGAAAAUCUUAGAGACUUGGCCAACGUCAGGGUUACCGAAACAAUAUAUUGGAUUUACGUCGUUGUACAUCGUGCACACAUACCUGUCUAGCGAAGAGGUAGCUAUCAAACACGACAAGGAAUUCCGUGCUUCUAUGCAGUCAUGCACAAAAGAAACAAAUAGAAUUGGCGUCUUCACGUUUUGCCGCGUACACGUGAAAGACCCGGACGUGAACGUGAGUAGGCGUCAAUUUGCUGCCACAAUGAUAGCUGUGUCCGUCAAUCUGACAUACCCACACAGAACGUGAAAACGAAGACUCCGAUCAGUCAUGAAGCAUGCAGUGCAGUCUACGUCUAUAACAACCAGCGCUAUUACUUCACAACAUGCUACAUUACUCAUUCAAAGUUUUGCUACAAAUGCUGAUCUGCAUCCUGUGAGAAAAGAAAUAGCGACUGCUGCUGUUGCACAUACACAAUGGAAGUUGCCUAUUACAAGUCACAAAUUAUAGAUCUGACCACAAUGUUUGGACGUUAUUAUAAUUAUAGUUCUAA